GUUGGGUGAGAAUGGGAAGUGUUUGCUUCAUUAUCAAGCAGGUAUAAUAGCCGCAAGGCUCAAGAGGUGAGGGUGAGGAAAAAUCGUAUAAAAGGAAGGGAGAAAAGGCUAUGGGAACUCAGUCGAGUGAGCACCUCCGACACGGCAACAACUGCAGCUCACUAUUUGUCACCAACUGCCUUCUUCAAUGUUAUACCGGUUCGCAAUCACGGUUUAUAGUACAGUUAACUAUGGCGCCAUGCUGCUGUUUGGUGUCGCAUGGUUAAUGGUUGGGUCGACCACGGGUGUACCGAUGUCUUCUGGACAUGGUGGAUACCAAGCAACAGCAGCAAAAUAAUAGUACACCACGUCGCCGCCUUACUACACAACAACGUCUAGAUACGCAACAUCUACUUACUACGCCGUGGCUCUCAAGUACUACAGCACGGAGUAUACGUAUACUGUCCCAGCCUACUACACCGAAGUCCCCAAGUACUACACGACUACGAUUGCUGCCCCAUCUUACUACACCGAGGCUCCAUCUUAUUUCAAUACCAAAGCGGUCGAGUACUACACCGAACCGCACGAGUACUACUCUGCCCCGAACUACACAACCACAACUGAGGCGGCCAAGUACUACUUAGCCCAGACUUACAACACAGCAGCUGUUCCUUCCCUCUACGUUUAACUGUAAUACUACACCGAGGAUCCAGUCUACUACACCACAACCUACGCUACACCUAGAUACUACGACGAAGCCCCCAACUACUACUACACCGAAAAGGCCACAUAACAAAGUACACUGCCCCAAUUUACUUCACUAAGUGUAACUCUGCUCCAAGCUACUACCAAACUGAGGCUCCCGUCUACUACACCAGUACACCAAGACCAUCGAGUAUUACACUACAGCCAAAUGUUAACUAUGGUGUCCUGCUGCUGUUGGUUGUUGUUUCCUUGAUGGUCAAGUCGACCACUGGUGUACCGAUGUCUCGGGUGAAUGUGGAUAUCAAACCCCAACGCCGCCGUCUUAUAACACAACAACAUACGCAACAACCGGUUACUUCCCCACCAAUUCUCCAGAGUAUAAUCCAUAACUGAUUAUGCCCCGAACACCGAAGAUACAAAGUAUAACUCUGCCCCGAGUUACACCACCAAGGCACCGGAGUACUACACCACCAAGGCACCGGAGUACUACACCACCAUGUAUGCUGCCCAGCCUUUUACACCGAGGCCUAAGUACUACCCGUUCCCAGCUACUUCACCGAGGCUCCAGCUUAUUACGCUACCAAAGCGGUAAAAAACUACACCGAAGUGCCCUUGUACUACUCUGCACCGAAUUACUAUACAGCGGCUGCUUCCUCGUACUACGUUUGAUCGAAAUACUACACUGAGGUUUCAGUGUACUACACCACAACACACGCUGCCUUCAGCUACUAUAUCGAGACUGCGCUCCCAUACCGAUGCUCCUAAGUACUACACAACCAAGGCACCCGACUAUUAUAUCACUACUUAGGCUGUUCCAACCCACUGCAUCGAAUCUGCGAAGGAUUUCACUGCCCCGAGUUACUACACCAUUAAAGCACCUGAAUGUUAAAUUUAAACCUUCGCUUGUCCAGUUAACUACAUUUAUCCUCUUGAAUACUAGGACCGAAAUUUUUGAUUGAUGUAAUUUUGUUCAGAUUUGUCGGUAAAACUUAAUAAUUCCUAGUUACUUGGAAUCGAUGAUCCUAAAUGAGAAAAUAAAAUUUUUUAUGGUAA